rnacentral:rRNA from 1 species
UGCAAGUCGAACGAUGACUAACUAGCUUGCUAGUUAUGAUUAGUGGCGGACGGGUGAGUAACAUUUAGGAAUCUGCCUAGUAGUGGGGGAUAGCUCGGGGAAACUCGAAUUAAUACCGCAUACGACCUACGGGUGAAAGGGGGCGCAAGCUCUUGCUAUUAGAUGAGCCUAAAUCAGAUUAGCUAGUUGGUGGGGUAAAGGCCCACCAAGGCGACGAUCUGUAACUGGUCUGAGAGGAUGAUCAGUCACACCGGAACUGAGACACGGUCCGGACUCCUACGGGAGGCAGCAGUGGGGAAUAUUGGACAAUGGGGGCAACCCUGAUCCAGCCAUGCCGCGUGUGUGAAGAAGGCCUUUUGGUUGUAAAGCACUUUAAGCAGGGAGGAGAGGCUAAUGGUUAAUACCCAUUAGAUUAGACGUUACCUGCAGAAUAAGCACCGGCUAACUCUGUGCCAGCAGCCGCGGUAAUACAGAGGGUGCGAGCGUUAAUCGGAAUUACUGGGCGUAAAGCGAGUGUAGGUGGCUCAUUAAGUCACAUGUGAAAUCCCCGGGCUUAACCUGGGAACUGCAUGUGAUACUGGUGGUGCUAGAAUAUGUGAGAGGGAAGUAGAAUUCCAGGUGUAGCGGUGAAAUGCGUAGAGAUCUGGAGGAAUACCGAUGGCGAAGGCAGCUUCCUGGCAUAAUAUUGACACUGAGAUUCGAAAGCGUGGGUAGCAAACAGGAUUAGAUACCCUGGUAGUCCACGCCGUAAACGAUGUCUACUAGCCGUUGGGGUCCUUGAGACUUUAGUGGCGCAGUUAACGCGAUAAGUAGACCGCCUGGGGAGUACGGCCGCAAGGUUAAAACUCAAAUGAAUUGACGGGGGCCCGCACAAGCGGUGGAGCAUGUGGUUUAAUUCGAUGCAACGCGAAGAACCUUACCUGGUCUUGACAUAGUGAGAAUCCUGCAG